rnacentral:rRNA from 1 species
AAACUAACAAGGAUUCCCCUAGUAACGGCGAGUGAAGCGGGAUGAGCUCAAAUUUGUAAUCUGGUGGACUCAGUUCAUCCGAGUUGUAAUCUAUAGAAAAGUUUUCCGCGCCGGACCGUGUCUAAGUCCCUUGGAACAGGGUGUCAGAGAGGGUGAGAAUCCCGUGCUUGAUACGACCACCGGUGCUAUGUGAUACUUUUUCAACGAGUCGAGUUGUUUGGGAAUGCAGCUCAAAAUGGGUGGUAAAUUCCAUCUAAAGCUAAAUAUUGGCGAGAGACCGAUAGCGAACAAGUACCGUGAGGGAAAGAUGAAAAGCACUUUGGAAAGAGAGUUAAACAGUACGUGAAAUUGUUAAAAGGGAAACGAUUGAAGUCAGUCGUGCUCUCUGGGACUCAGCCGGUUCUUCCGGUGUAUUUCCCAGUGAGCGGGUCAACAUCAGUUUAGAUCGCUGGAUAAGGUCAUUAGGAAUGUGGCUCCCUCGGGAGUGUUAUAGCCUAGUGUCGCAUACAGUGGUUUAGACUGAGGAACGCAGCUCGCCUUUAUGGCCGGGUUCGCCCACGUCCGAGCUUAGAUGUUGACAUAAUGCAA